UUAAGCGACUAAGCGUACACGGUGGAUGCCCUGGCAGUCAGAGGCGAUGAAGGACGUGCUAAUCUGCGAAAAGCGCCGGCGAGGUGAUAUGAACCCUUGACCCGGCGAUGUCCGAAUGGGGAAACCCAGUGUGUUCCGACACACUAUCGUUAACUGAAUACAUAGGUUAACGAGGCGAACCGGGGGAACUGAAACAUCUAAGUACCCCGAGGAAAAGAAAUCAACCGAGAUUCCCCCAGUAGCGGCGAGCGAACGGGGAGCAGCCCGGAGUCUGAAUCAGCUUGUGUGUUAGUGGAACGGUCUGGAAAGUCCGACGGUACAGGGUGAUAGUCCCGUACACGAAAAUGCACAGGUUGUGAACUCGAAGAGUAGGGCGGGACACGUGGUAUCCUGUCUGAAUAUGGGGGGACCAUCCUCCAAGGCUAAAUACUCCUGACUGACCGAUAGUGAACCAGUACCGUGAGGGAAAGGCGAAAAGAACCCCGGCGAGGGGAGUGAAAAAGAACCUGAAACCGUGUACGUACAAGCAGUGGGAGCCUCUUUAUGGGGUGACUGCGUACCUUUUGUAUAAUGGGUCAGCGACUUAUAUUCUGUAGCAAGGUUAACCGUAUAGGGGAGCCGAAGGGAAACCGAGUCUUAACUGGGCGUUAAGUUGCAGGGUAUAGACCCGAAACCCGGUGAUCUAGCCAUGGGCAGGUUGAAGGUUGGGUAACACUAACUGGAGGACCGAACCGACUAAUGUUGAAAAAUUAGCGGAUGACCUGUGGCUGGGGGUGAAAGGCCAAUCAAACCGGGAGAUAGCUGGUUCUCCCCGAAAGCUAUUUAGGUAGCGCCUCGUGAACUCAUCUUCGGGGGUAGAGCACUGUUUCGGCUAGGGGGCCAUCCCGGCUUACCAACCCGAUGCAAACUACGAAUACCGAAGAAUGUUAUCACGGGAGACACACGGCGGGUGCUAACGUCCGUCGUGAAGAGGGAAACAACCCAGACCGCCAGCUAAGGUCCCAAAGUCAUGGUUAAGUGGGAAACGAUGUGGGAAGGCACAGACAGCCAGGAUGUUGGCUUAGAAGCAGCCAUCAUUUAAAGAAAGCGUAAUAGCUCACUGGUCGAGUCGGCCUGCGCGGAAGAUGUAACGGGGCUAAACCAUGCACCGAAGCUGCGGCAGCGACACUAUGUGUUGUUGGGUAGGGGAGCGUUCUGUAAGCCGUUGAAGGUGUGCUGUGAGGCAUGCUGGAGGUAUCAGAAGUGCGAAUGCUGACAUAAGUAACGAUAAAGCGGGUGAAAAGCCCGCUCGCCGGAAGACCAAGGGUUCCUGUCCAACGUUAAUCGGGGCAGGGUGAGUCGACCCCUAAGGCGAGGCCGAAAGGCGUAGUCGAUGGGAAACAGGUUAAUAUUCCUGUACUUGGUGUUACUGCGAAGGGGGGACGGAGAAGGCUAUGUCAGCCGGGCGACGGUUGUCCCGGUUUAAGCAUGUAGGCGGAGGUUCCAGGUAAAUCCGGUACCUUAUUAACGCUGAGGUGUGAUGACGAGGCACUACGGUGCUGAAGUGAUAAAUGCCCUGCUUCCAGGAAAAGCCUCUAAGCAUCAGGUAACACGAAAUCGUACCCCAAACCGACACAGGUGGUCAGGUAGAGAAUACCAAGGCGCUUGAGAGAACUCGGGUGAAGGAACUAGGCAAAAUGGUGCCGUAACUUCGGGAGAAGGCACGCUGAUAUGUAGGUGAAGUCCCUGCGGACGGAGCUGAAAUCAGUCGAAGAUACCAGCUGGCUGCAACUGUUUAUUAAAAACACAGCACUGUGCAAACACGAAAGUGGACGUAUACGGUGUGACGCCUGCCCGGUGCCGGAAGGUUAAUUGAUGGGGUUAGCGGCAACGCGAAGCUCUUGAUCGAAGCCCCGGUAAACGGCGGCCGUAACUAUAACGGUCCUAAGGUAGCGAAAUUCCUUGUCGGGUAAGUUCCGACCUGCACGAAUGGCGUAAUGAUGGCCAGGCUGUCUCCACCCGAGACUCAGUGAAAUUGAACUCGCUGUGAAGAUGCAGUGUACCCGCGGCAAGACGGAAAGACCCCGUGAACCUUUACUAUAGCUUGACACUGAACACUGGUCCUUGAUGUGUAGGAUAGGUGGGAGGCUUUGAAGCGUGGACGCCAGUCUGCGUGGAGCCGCCCUUGAAAUACCACCCUUUAAUGGCUGGUGUUCUAACGUAGACCCGUAAUCCGGGUUGCGGACAGUGUCUGGUGGGUAGUUUGACUGGGGCGGUCUCCUCCCAAAGAGUAACGGAGGAGCACGAAGGUUGGCUAAUCCUGGUCGGACAUCAGGAGGUUAGUGCAAUGGCAUAAGCCAGCUUGACUGCGAGCGUGACGGCGCGAGCAGGUGCGAAAGCAGGUCAUAGUGAUCCGGUGGUUCUGAAUGGAAGGGCCAUCGCUCAACGGAUAAAAGGUACUCCGGGGAUAACAGGCUGAUACCGCCCAAGAGUUCAUAUCGACGGCGGUGUUUGGCACCUCGAUGUCGGCUCAUCACAUCCUGGGGCUGAAGUAGGUCCCAAGGGUAUGGCUGUUCGCCAUUUAAAGUGGUACGCGAGCUGGGUUUAGAACGUCGUGAGACAGUUCGGUCCCUAUCUGCCGUGGGCGCUGGAGAAUUGAGGGGGGCUGCUCCUAGUACGAGAGGACCGGAGUGGACGCAUCACUGGUGUUCGGGUUGUCAUGCCAAUGGCACUGCCCGGUAGCUAAAUGCGGAAGAGAUAAGUGCUGAAAGCAUCUAAGCACGAAACUUGCCCCGAGAUGAGUUCUCCCUGAGACUUUAAGUCUCCUGAAGGAACGUUGAAGACGACGACGUUGAUAGGUCGGGUGUGUAAGCGCAGCGAUGCGUUGAGCUAACCGAUACUAAUGAACCGUGAGGCUUAACCUU
rnacentral:rRNA from 1 species